rnacentral:rRNA from 2 species
UACGGGGGGGGCAAGCGUUGUUCGGAAUUACUGGGCGUAAAGGGCUCGUAGGCGGCCAACUAAGUCAGACGUGAAAUCCCUCGGCUUAACCGGGGAACUGCGUCUGAUACUGGAUGGCUUGAGUUUGGGAGAGGGAUGCGGAAUUCCAGGUGUAGCGGUGAAAUGCGUAGAUAUCUGGAGGAACACCGGUGGCGAAGGCGGCAUCCUGGACCAACACUGACGCUGAGUGAGCGAAAGCCAGGGGAGCAAACGGG